GCAAAGACGUUGAACAAGAGGAGUAUUACUGGCAUCGUUUUAGAGAGAAGAUCGAUUGGUGGGAGAUUUUCACAUAACCAGUAAGAAGGUAGCUUGGGAGUCGAUGAUUUGAAUUUAGUAGAAUGAUUCGAGUCGUGAUCGUUACCUCACGAAUGAAGUGGUGUUUGUAGUUGCAGACACAAUUUAGGUGGUACCACGUAUAAAAAGAUUAUGCGCCCUAGAA
rnacentral:ncRNA from 1 species